UUCAACACAACGUGUCGGAUUUUUCAAAUCAAUAUAUCAGUACCCUCUACCUAUAUAUCCUUCUAGUAUUAGUGGUUUCCUUAGUCUGAGCAAGAACAUAUCGGAUAUUGAAUGUACUGUUUCUAUGCUUUGUACAUGAUCGAUUUUAUUUUGAAAUGCAGACUGAUGUAAAGCUCCCAAGAAGUAUUUUUAUAUCUACAAACGUGUAAUGUUUCAUUCGAAUAGUUUUUCAGUUGUUAUACAUAGUUUUAAUCGGAUCAAGAAAAAAACCGUACCUAAACUGUAUUUUGAAUAUAACGUUCAAGGGAAUUUGCAUUGCUGCAAAUCUUGAUAUUGGCUGUAGCGGUGGGGAUGCGCGGGAGUCUGAGACUCCGCCGGGACACCCCAUCUAUCCCACCACAUCACCACAGUGAGCGCAGAGCUUGAUGACAGCUAGGUAGCUGCUGCGACCAGCUGCGGCUAGUGUACACGCUAAGCAUUAAUUAGCUCGUCGGCAUGGAGGAGCGCCGUAGCCCGUGGAAACACCAGCCCAAGCCGACGACGCCGCAGUCGUUCCUGCAGAGCAUGCUGCGCCUGCGCGAGCCGGAGCCGGAGCCCGAGCCCGCCUUCGUGAUCAGGCACGUCACCGGCCUCACGAUAGCCUUCGCCGCCGCCCUCGUCUUAAUCAUCCUACUCUUGAUCGCUGUCCUUGCGUUGCUAUCUAAGAAAUAAUUAUUUCUAUAUAAAACUGGAUUUUUCAUGU